GCGUUAGAUAUAUGAGACCCAUCUCGCCCUGUUCUCUCUCCCCCUUAAGAGAAUUUUUUUUUUUCAGUACAAUGGCGGUUCACAUGUAUAGAUAUGGCGAACAAAAUCUGAAAAUAACAAAAUAGAAAGAGACUUCGCUACCGUAUCGCAUUAUUCGUAUGCAUGCAAGAGUCUACAAAUAUUCAGAAGGAGCGGCCGAGUUGCCCUCGAGUCUCGCGAGUUCUUUUUGAACGUUUUCUAGGAUUUUGCUCUUCGACUGGUUUCGCCGCAGGAGAAGAGGUCGAGAGAGCCGGAAAUUUCCGUCCCAAUUUUCGAAUUUGGAGCUCGGCGAUCGGAUCGGAUCGGAUCGGAUGGAGAGCUCACGAACGAGCAAGCGGCUUCGGCUCGCUUGGGACGUCGCGCCUCCCGAACAACAAGAGGUCCACCCGUGUCUAGAUGCUAGGGUUAGGGUUGGGAUUGCGAGGAGGUAGAGGCUGCUGUCGGGUAUGAGGCGAUGACGGGCCCGUCGGGUGCGGCAUCUCAUCGUGGAGGGAUGAGGAUCGGGAGGGGCACUACGUCUCGGUCUUGGGGAGAACCUCACUUCGCGAUGCACUUUUGGCCAUGUUUUGGACUGUGGGGAUCGUGAAGCACAUGAAUUCGUGGCAAUCAAGGUGGUUCGGAGCAUAUGCAGAUAUCAUAAUGCAGCAAUGAUCGAAAUAGAUGUCCUUAAUCAUCUUGGGAAGAAUGAUAGAGAUGGAUCAAAGUGUUGUACCUGGAUAGAAAGGUUUCUUGACUACUUCAGUCCCAUAUGCAUUGUAAGUACUGCUCCAGGCUUUCAUUAUGUUUUUUAUUUACAGUACUUCAAUUCAACCUUUGUAACUACUUUGCCUCCUAGGGCAUGACCUGUUUGGUAUCAUCUAGAUGCUGCUACCUUUGCUUAUUGUGAAAGAUAUUCAGGCUAUGCAGUUCAAUGGCUGCUUUAGUUUAGUCACAUUUCAAGAUUCCUGAUGACUAUAUCAUUAUUUGAAUCACCCCCAGGUGUCCCUAAUUGAUUUCCCUCCCAAUUCUAUCGGGUCAUUAAACAUUUCGCAUUCUAUAUGAGCAACUUCUAGUCUACGAGUUUUGGGAAUUAGGAACAGAGUUUUCCUCUAGAAAAUGUAGACAUUUUUUUGGUGGCACAUUCUCAAGUGGUAGAAUUCCUGUUGAAGAUCCAGUAGCUGGAUGCUGUAGGAUCCCUGCAUACAUAUGUUGUUAAUGAUAUUGCUAAAUGGAGCUCUAGAAGAGUUGAUGGGAUUAAUUACUUUUGAUUCUCUGUCGAGAUAGGAACACUGUAGGCUGCAAAUGCUUGGUAUAUUAUGUUCUUUUAAGGUCUGUUUAUGGUAUUGGAGAACUAAAAUCAUAUAUUUCUUUGAAUGAACUUCGAUGAUGUUAUCAGGCAUAUGAAAAGCUUGGGCCGAGCUUAUAUGGUUUCUUAAAGAGAUAAAUACUGCCAAUUUCUUGUGGAACUUGUGCGGGAGUUUGGACAUCAGCAUUUGGAAUCUGUAGCACGUGCGUUGAUUAUUCUUGGCUUCUUUUAGUUUUCAUUCCCUAUUCAUUCCUGACCCACUCUUAUGGAUCUAUUUGUUUUCCCUUUUUCACUCUGAAUGGCAGGAUUAAACUUUUUAUUUUUCCCUUUUAAAAACAUAGAUAUGCUUGAUUUACGGCUUUUUCCCACUGAUUUGGAGCCAGAAGGCACUCCUCUUGUGUCUUCUGAAUAUGUGAAGGUUCCAAGCUAUAAGAAGAAUUCACAAGAUGAGACGUACGUCAGGUGCGUGCCAAAGUCAAGUGCCAUUAAGCUGUUGAUUUUGAUAGUACUGCUUUUGACAAUCAGGACCAUAGCUCCAUUGUUUCAACAAGGCAUUACAAGGCACCUGAAAGCAUUUUAGAUAAAUUAAUGUUUUAUUAUAGAAGUGUUGGUUUUACAAUGUCUUAUCUGGAUGCAUGAUAUCCUAAGCGAAGUUAAUUGGUUUUCAGUUGUGAUGUUAAAGGAACAACCUUUUCAUGUUUAUAAGGCUGCAACAAUAAGACCUUCAGAGGCUAGGUUUCAAUGUGUUCCAAUGCACACAACUGGAAGUUCCAAAUAUUUUAGUUAUUUUUUAGAAGUUUGAGCCACAUGCUCUAUGUGCGUAUAAUCAGUUUCAAGUUAGAUCUCUGCAUAGUAACAAAAGAUAAAACUUUUUGAGGAUGAUAGUGUUAUUUUGAUGAUUAACAAGCAAUUCUCUAGAGUAUGCUAUAAGUUAAAAUUGAUACUUCAUUUAUAAGUUCAUUGCUCUCAGUACAUUUGCUUAAUUGG